AUUUGUUGCCAUACUUAUCACCAUUGACUGGAAUCUUUUGUGGAUCACGUAUUACAUAAGUCUUGUCCACAAAUAUGCAUCCAUAACAUCCAGAUAUUGUAAACCCAUUGCCGUUUAAAGAAUCCAACUGUUGCACAUGCAGCUGCACAAAAUAGGGAGAGAUUUUGAAGAAAAAGAAAUGAAGAAUAAAAUGAUUAGGGGAGGGAAAGAAAUCGAGAGGUUGAAGAAGGAGAGAGCAGUGGUGUCGUAAGAACAAGCAAAAGAGAGAGCUGAGAUGAAAAGAGUGGAAAAGAUGAGGAAUAGGAGUGAUGUUGCAAGAACAAAAUGAAGAGAGAAUAGUGAGCAGAGAUGAGAUGAGGAAGAGGAGAUGGGAGUUACUGCCAUAUGAGGAGUUGUUGGCCAGGGUUUGAAAUGUUUCUUAUGAAUAUAUAGUGAUAUUUUGAUGGCUCAGAUCUUCUCAAAUGGAUGGUUAGAUUUAGUGAUCUUUAAAAAAGAAAAAUAAAAUGUUGAAGGUGGGAUUUGAUCACAGGACAUCAAAGCAAUAUCAUACAGACUUAACCACUAAACCGAAAGGUGCCACAUGUUACGCAAAUCUUCAAAAUAGUCUUAUAUCGGUUUGGUUUGGUUCAACCGAAUUAUUUUUGUUCAAAAUUAUACCGAACCGAUUAAACUGAUUUUUUUCAAAAAUAAAAACUGAACCAAAUUACUUAAAAAACC
rnacentral:misc_RNA from 1 species